rnacentral:rRNA from 1 species
GAACGGUGGAACAUGUGGUUUAAUGCGAUAAUCCACGCAAAAUCUUACCAACGUUUUAGGCUUUAAUAGUAAUAUGGUUAAUACUAUAAUUAAAUGAUAAAGUUCGGAAUUGCAUGGCUGUCGUCAGUUCGUGCUGUGAAGUUUAGGAUUAAGUUUUUCUUAACGAAUGUAACCCUAUAAAUAAGUUUUUAAUUUUUAAUAAAUAAAUUUUUAAGUUAUUCUUAUUUAAUCUAUAAUCAAUUUUAAAGAAAUCUUUUUUUUUAUAAUUGAUUAUAGGGGUUUUAGGCUGAAGUCAAGUCCCUAUGGUCUUUAUACGUUGGGCUACACACGUGUUACAAGGAUAAAAACAAAGAGACGCGAUAGAGUAAUCUGAAGCAAAUCUCUAAAAAUUAUCUUAGUUCAGAUUGUUUUAUGAAAUUCUAAAACAUGAAGAUGAAAUCGUUAGUAAUUGUAAAUUAUAAUGUUACAGUGAAAUAAUUGUCAAAUUUUGCACACACCGCCCAUCACGCUCGAAAAGUCGAUAUUAGCGGAAGAUUUUAAAAUUUCUACAUAAUACUUAAUUAUUAUAUAAUUUUGUAAUAAAUAUUAUUUUUUAAUAGUGUAGUUAAUAAGUAGU